ensembl:lncRNA
UAUCAACAAUAGUCAAAGUGGUAGGCGUUUUUCCUCAUUGUCAUUUAUGUUUGAAGGCCACAAUAGCCCUGCAAUGCCAGUUGCAUAACCUGGAGGCCAUGAAAACGGAAAUGGACGUCUCAGACAAUCAACUGGAGAGGUGGAUCAUUGAUAUCAAUGAGUGGGCAGAAGGUAGGAUAUACUGUUUUUAUACUGUUUGAUAUGGUGCUUGAUGUAUCACUUCUGACUUAUUUUGGCUGCAAUUCCAAAGAGGCUCAUUGUAAUCGUAGUCAAAGAGCACAUACUCUGAUUGCCGAUGACGUGUGGACAAGAUUAUCCCUAUGGGGACAAUAAAGAACCUAACUAUACUCAACCUUAGCUACAAGUGUAGCCUCUCAGUUACAGAUAAAUAUGAAAAGAUUGUUGAGGCUUUAUUUUGCUCAUACACCAGAAAUAAUAUUUUUUCAUGGAAUCAAGAAGCAUAUUUCUUAUCUCUUAAUUUCUUCCUCUCAGCAACAACAUCCCCAAAUGAUGCUGAUGUUGCCGCUGUUGCCAGCCGAAUUGAGGAGCUGGUGGCAAGUGUUAAGAGGAGGUCCCAGCGUCUUUACAAGGAUAGUGACGGAUGCAAAGGACGUGCCCGAAUCCGCCGAAAGAUCAGGGAGGAAAAAAAAAAUAAAAAUUCUGUUGUUGUUCUAAACCUGUAUGAAUUUCCCUCUGCUGUUUGCUGAACGCAAAAGAAUAUAUUUGGAUACUGGUAACCAAAAAUUAAAAAAAUAAAAAUAAAUAAAAAAUACACUAUUGGAGUCAAUGGGGACCAGAAACUGUCUGGUUAUAAGCAUUCUUCAAUAUAUCUUCUGUUAUGUUGAAGAAAACAACUUGAGGGUGAGUAAAUGAUUACAGUAUUUUCAUUUUUGGGUGAAGAUCUCAUAAUGCCAGGAUCUCAUAUAGCCUAUACUACACAUGCUUUAUCUUUAACUACAAACCCAGCUCCAAAGAAGUUGGGACACUGUACAAAUUGUGAAUAAAAACAGAAUGCAAUGAUGUGGAAGUUUCAAAUUUCAAUAUUUUAUUCAGAAUAUAACAUAGAUGACAUAUCAAAUGUUUAAACUGAGAAAAUGUAUCAUUUUAAGGGAAAAAUAAGUUGAUUUUAAAUUUCAUGGCAUCAACACAUCUCAAAAAAGUUGGGACAAGGCCAUGUUUACCACUAUGUGGCAUC